CGGCUAUCAAGGCUGCGUUUCUCAGACUGAACCUCUCUCUCCACUGUGUUGUGGGAACAGGGACACCGGUAACCAGCAGCCUCCUUGAUAGGGGCUCCUGGUAAAUGCCGCCACCACGGGAGACAGGAGCAAGAUGGAAACAAAGCCCCUGGACGUCACACUCACAGAAUCACCGACCCUGCGCUUGGAGGAUCCCUUGGAAACGUCCCACUAGAUGUUGGCCGGAGCCACAGUGUGUUUUAUUUUCGAAAAUCAAAGCUGCCCUCUGCAUCAUGUAGCUUCUUGUCUGCCAUGGGGCUGACCUCCAUGCCAGCUCACUCAAAUGCAUGAUUUUUUCCUGUCUGGUCUUCAUUCUUCUCCUCCAGGUAGCUGAUGUGAUUUAUGACACGCCUACUCUGAAAUUUUGCUUUUAAACACAAUUGUCCUUAAGCCUCCAUUUGAGUCCAUUUAAAAAUUUUUUGAGUCAUAAGAUGAAGCACCCCAAGAGGGGAUCCUAUUUCCGACCUUCGAAAUAUUCCCUGAUAGUUAUACCAGGGAUCAAAGUCUUCGUGUUCCUGCUAAUGUCAACAGAGACACGGAUUUUACUCACAGAGGAAAAGUCAGCUUGGCUGCAGACGUGUCAGAGGAAGUGGGCGGAAUGGAAGACCCUCAUUCCCCAUCUCCAGGUCUGCUGAGCCUGGACUGAAUAAAGGGAGGACUUAGAUCUGUGGCUUCCAGAGCUUGCCUGCAUCUACACCCACCCUAGGGGACAGCUGAAGGGAGGGGUGUGGCACGAACAACACAGAGGGUAACUGAGCAGCCAGGGAGAGUUAAUGGACUUGGAGGCAGCACCGGAAGUGCAAAUUGCCGAGGAGAAGAAAGUCCCUAGGAGUGGUCUGCCAGGAACAACCGUCAACCCUCACCCCCACAUCAGUGAGAUCAGGACUCCAUCUGGCUUGAGGAAAAUAAAGUCUAUAGUGUCUAA